rnacentral:SRP_RNA from 1 species
UGCCGGGUUCUGCGCAGCGAAGGCUGCCGAACCCCGCCAGGUCCGGAAGGAAGCAACGGUAAGGCAAUCCCUUCGGGUGCCGCAGAGCGCCCGGCAGUG